AUUGAACGCUGGCGGCAUGCCUUACACAUGCAAGUCGAACGGUAACAGGUCUUCGGAUGCUGACGAAUGGCGAACGGGUGAGUAAUACAUCGGAACGUGCCCGAGAGUGGGGGAUAACGAAGCGAAAGCUUUGCUAAUACCGCAUACGACAUCAGGAUGAAAGCAGGGGACCGCAAGGCCUUGCGCUCACGGAGCGGCCGAUGGCAGAUUAGGUAGUUGGUGGGAUAAAAGCUUACCAAGCCGACGGUCUGUAGCUGGUCUGAGAGGACGACCAGCCACACUGGGACUGAGACACGGCCCAGACUCCUACGGGAGGCAGCAGUGGGGAAUUUUGGACAAUGGGCGCAAGCCUGAUCCAGCCAUGCCGCGUGCAGGAUGAAGGCCUUCGGGUCGUAAACUGCUUUUGUACGGAACGAAAAGACUCCUUCUAAUAAAGGGGGUCCAUGACGGUACCGUAAGAAUAAGCACCGGCUAACUACGUGCCAGCCGCCGCGGUAAUAC
rnacentral:rRNA from 1 species